rfam:Fomitiporia mediterranea MF3/22 unplaced genomic scaffold FOMMEscaffold_5, whole genome shotgun sequence.
UCUCUGGUAGUAUAUCGGUUAGUACACGCGCCUGUCAUUUCAAAGUGUACGCGCGAAAGCGGGGUUCGACUCCCCGCCAGAGAG